rnacentral:rRNA from 1 species
CAGCCGUAAACAAUGUGCGUUAGGUGUGUCGGUACCCACGCGUUACUGAUGCGCCGAAGAGAAAUCGUGAAACGCACCACCUGGGAAGUACGGUCGCAAGGCUGAAACUUAAAGGAAUUGGCGGGGGAGCACCACAACAGGUGGAGCCUGCGGUUUAAUUGGAUUCAACGCCGGACAUCUCACCGGAUAAGACAGCUGAAUGAUUGUCAAUCUGAAGGUUUUACAUGACUAGCUGAGAGGAGGUGCAUGGCGUCAGUGACU